UUGCUGGGAGAAGCAACUUUCUUUCUCCCUGACAAUAGAUUCUGAUCACAAACCAGGCCCCUUUCAGAGAAAUAGAUCUCAUGGAAUGACUCUGCCCAGAGGCAAAUAAAGAUGAACAUGUUCGACUGAUGGAUGAAAAGCACAUCCAGGCCCAGGAUUCCUUCUACUACUCUGGGACUCAAGCAGAUACACGGCGCUUCUGUUCUUGAGGAAAUUGAGAAUGUAGAAGGAUGCAAACAUUCUAGACAUAAACACGAACCCAUUCAUCCAACAGAGUACAAUAGCAAAUAAACCCAAAGGCUCCAGGGCUUUUGACCUGUGGAAGAAUUGAAGCUGGUCAUCACACAGCAGGCUUUCUCCAUGUGGUGGUCCCUGGCAACUCUAGAUUUACGUCAUCUCAGUUCAGCAAUCUCUUGCCAAACAUUUCCAGAAGAAUUCUCAGAAUUCCUAGGACUGAGGUUUCAAGAGGGAACAGCUGCGUGGUGACGAGCUUACCUUUUUGCAGAUGUUACAAGUAUGGGGCUGGAGUGCAAUGGUACAAUAUCAGCUCACUGCAACCUCCACCUCCUUGGAUCAAGCGAUUCUCCUGCUUCAGUCUCCAGAGCAGCUGGGACUACUGACAUGAGCCAUCAUGCCCAGCUAAUGUUUGUAUUUUUAGUAGAGACGGGGUUUCACCAUGUUGGCGAGGCUACUCAAACUCUUGACCUCAAGUGAUCCACCUGCCUAGGUCUCCUACAGUGCUGGGAUUAUAGAUGUGAGCCACCGUGCCCAGCCCCUUCAGCCAUCUUUUCAAUGACUCUUGACUCUCACCUGCUUAGACUCAAGGAUGUCAAGAUUUUCUGGCACACAUAUUAACAGUGCAGAAAAUCAGCCCGGCAUAUGAAGGGGAAUUUGAAAAGCCCACUAUAUUCAUAAAGAAGAGACUUUGGGGGGGAAAAAAAACCGACUUGUAAACUUCAAAAGAACACCAGCCCGGUUUUCACUGUAUGAGAUAUUGAAAUAAUUAAUACACAUUUGUACACACUUGCCUUAAAAAACAGCCCCUUGGAAAUGCACAGCGGUUCUCCCUGAGUGGUGAAAUAUUCCAGAGGAGUGUUUUCUGUUUCUCUUGCUUGGCUGUAAGGUCUGCUUUUUCCUCAAUAGAUGCAAAAAACAAUAUAGUUGGAUGUUAAGUGGGAGUCACUUUCUAAAGUCAGCAUGUAAAGCAGAAAAUCACGUCCAGUAAAUUACUUAUGAAGAUAACUUCUCUACUAAAAUAGCACAUAUAUGGCUUUAUGUGUCACAAAGCAGUUGCCUUGCAUUUAGGGGUCAAGAUACAUGAAAAAUGCACAUUUUAUACAUUAGAGCUCAUUUAAAGGUGCCAUAAGGUACCAAGGAUUGUGGGAAAUGAAAUCAACUGGGGAAGUAUCUGCCAUAUUUUUUCCUCAGUCUUACUGUGGAGCCCAUAUUCAAUGAGUGGAAUGGCCCAAUGAAGCAUCUUCACUCUUCAAA